AUACAUACAUACACAUAUACGGACACAUGCAUACCUUUAUGUACAUUACACACCCCGUAAAACACUCGCGCGCACACACACACAUGUGUGUGUGUGUGUGUGUGUGUGUGUGUGAGCCAUACAUGCAUCCAUACAGACAUAAGUAUUUAUGAAAGAGAGAAGAGAAAGAUUGACAGAGAGAAACUGUUUAUGUGAUAUGGUUUGAUACGUGUGAGAGAGAGACAGAAGGAGAGACAGAGAGUGUUACUACGUGUGUGUGUGUGCGUGGGUGGGUGGGUGUGUAUUCAAAUAUGCAAAUGAAUGGGAGAAAACGUACUCAAUAUCAGAAAUUGAAUCGUUGCUGGAACCGUUGCUACUCAUAUUCCCAGGAAAUUCAGAGAAGCAUCAAGAAGUCUCAGAUUCAAAUAGAUUCAAGCAUACAUACAUACAUAUAUAUAUGUGCAAUAUAUAUAUAUAUAUAUAUAUAUAUAUAUAUAUAUAUAUAUAUAUAUAUAUAUAUAUAUAUAUAUAUAUAUAUAUAUAUAUAUGUGUGCAAAUAUAUAUGUGCGUGUGUAUAUACUCUCUCUUUUUACUUGUUUCAGUCACUUGACUGUAGCCAUGCUGGAGCACCACCUUUAGCCUAGUACUUAUUCUGUCGGUUUCUUUUGCCGAGCCGCUAAGUUACGGGGACGUAAACCCACCAGCAUCGGUUGUCAAGCUAUGCUGGGGGGACAAGCACAGACACACAUAUGCAUAUAUUCGACGGGCUUCUUUCAGUUUCCGUCUAACAAAUCUACUAACAAGGCUUUGGUCGGCCCGAGGCUAUAGCAGAAGACACUUGCUCAAGGUGCCACGCAGUACGACUGAACCCGGAACCAUGUGGUUGGUAAGCAAGCUACUUACCACACAGCCACUCCUACGCCUAU
rnacentral:lncRNA from 1 species